GUGUGUCCCAGGUGGAGCUGCUGCCCGAGGACUCCUUCCCGGUACAGGAGGCAGAGGGAAGGAACCGGCCACCUUCAGUGUUGGAGCCCACUCUGAGCUUGGCAGGCAAAGAGCGCUGGACAGAAUGGUGCACAGAGUCCUCCUACAAUACCAACAAAAGGACAGUAAGGAUCCUGUUUAACAGGCAUCUCAGUACUGAUGGUUCAAAAAAAUGUGUGGAGUGUCAUAAAACAAGAACAGCUGCAUGAUUCCCAAGGGGAGAGGACAAAGGUAGCAGUGAAGACAGACAAGACCAACAAGGUUUUAUGUUUUGGCAGACUUCUGGCAAAUACUACUGGAAUUUACUUUAGUCUUCAAAUAGCAUCUCAGAACUGGAACUUUGUUACCUCAGAGCUAUAUAAUGGAAUUUCUCAGCUGGUAAAUUGAGCACCACCCCCCAAACUGAGACUAAGAGCAAAGGGCAUCCAUUACAGCACAUACCUGAAAGCUUGCUGCUCUGCUCAACAUUCCCGUGGAAGUCUUCAGCCUGCUGAGGGUGCUGUUCAUCACAGGGAGACUUCAACACCGGCUCCAUCACAAAACAAGUCUCAAGUAAAAAAAAUCCAAGACUUCCAGAGCCACUUCUGGACACCUGGGGGAGCAAGCAUAUCUGUCUCUUACAGGUAGCCGCUCCCUCUGCCCGAGUUGAGUAGGCAGAUCAGCCUGUUCAGACGUGUACCACCCUGCCCUCACCAGCAGCACAAGGACUGCAAGCUAACACACAUUGAUACGGAGCAUACGUCUGCUCCAGGACGAGCAAGAGCCGUCACACAUCCAAACCCCCUUGAGCCCUGGUGAUGUCACCAGCGCCCGGAGCU